rnacentral:rRNA from 1 species
GUGCUUGCACCUUUCAAGCGAGUGGCGAACGGGUGAGUAACACGUGGAUAACCUGCCUCAAGGCUGGGGAUAACAUUUGGAAACAGAUGCUAAUACCGAAUAAAACUUAGUAUCGCAUGAUACAAAGUUGAAAGGCGCUACGGCGUCACCUAGAGAUGGGUCCGCGGUGCAUUAGUUAGUUGGUGGGGUAAAGGCCUACCAAGACAAUGAUGCAUAGCCGAGUUGAGAGACUGAUCGGCCACAUUGGGACUGAGACACGGCCCAAACUCCUACGGGAGGCUGCAGUAGGGAAUCUUCCACAAUGGGCGAAAGCCUGAUGGAGCAACGCCGCGUGUGUGAUGAAGGCUUUAGGGUCGUAAAGCACUGUUGUAUGGGAAGAAAUGCUAGAAUAGGGAAUGAUUCUAGUUCGACGGUACCAUACCAGAAAGGGACGGCUAAAUACGUGCCAGCAGCCGCGGUAAUACGUAUGUCCCGAGCGUUAUCCGGAUUUAUUGGGCGUAAAGCGAGCGCAGACGGUUGAUUAAGUCUGAUGUGAAAGCCCGGAGCUCAACUCCGGAAUGGCAUUGGAAACUGGUUAACUUGAGUGUUGUAGAGGUAAGUGGAACUCCAUGGGGUA